rnacentral:rRNA from 1 species
CCCUUCAGAGGGGGAUAGUGUCUGGAAACGGACAGUAAUACCGCAUAAUGUACAUUGAUGGCAUCUUCGAUGUACCAAAGCUUUUGCGCUGAAGGAUGGGCUCGCGUCUGAUUAGAUAGUUGGUGGGGUAAUGGCCUACCAAGUCGACGAUCAGUANCCGGACUGAGAGGUUGAACGGCCACAUUGGGACUGAGACACGGCCCAAACUCCUACGGGAGGCAGCAGUGGGGAAUAUUGCACAAUGGGGGAAACCCUGAUGCAGCGACGCCGCGUGAGUGAUGAAGUAUUUCGGUAUGUAAAACUCUAUCAGCAGGGAAGAUAAUGACGGUACCUGACUAAGAAGCACCGGCUAAAUACGUG